UUGAGCUACAUCGUGGUUUUUAGAUAUGAUUUACCUUUCAGGGAGUGUUGACUGUAUGCCGCUCAUUGGGCUUCCGUUAUGUGUUUUUCCCCGACGUAGGCUUUUUUUUAUCCAACUAGCAUUUUUACCAAAACGACAACCUCUGUAUUUUGGAGAAUGACUACGUCUUGACCUUUUCAAUGUCCGUCCAAGAGCGUUCCACAACGAUAAAAAAUAUUUUAAUCCAUUAAAAUAAGAAAAUAUACAUGGGCUAUUCCACAAUGUAGACUUGAAUUCGUUGGCUUAUUUUGUUUAUUCCAGCUAUUGAUGUAAAAAAUGUGGCCAAAGAGAGAUAGAGGCAAACUUGGCAAUGUCCACCAUGAAGACCCAGGCCAGUGUGUACAUGGCCAGGCCCCCUACCUUCAUGAUGAGGCUGGGCCGGGGAGAGGUGAGCUCACAGUAGAGCAUCAUGCCACCCACGCCUACACGCACCAGGGCAAAGAGCAGGAUAAAGAGCAGGUCCACCGCGUCCCCCCACAGGCUGUCGUAGCGGCCAACCUGCCGGAGGAACCAGCGGGCCUGCAGCAAGGGGUUGGUGAUCUCGCUGCCGAAAAUCACGGCACAUGUCUCCACUGCCGACUUGCCCAGGCCCAGCGCCAACAGGAUGCCUGCGAUGCUCAUGGUGUGGUGGGCCAGCAUGACAGGGCCCUCGGUACGGACGCAGAUGCACCAGCCAAAGUCGAAUAGGAAGUAGCCCAGACUAACCACCAGGGCCAGGAUCUGGAGCGGGGUGUUCUCUGUACCUGAGGUCACAAACGGGACAAGGCCAGGGCCCAUCGAUGAAGCUAAUGUAUGCAGUAAGACAUACUAUGAGGAUCCCAUGUGUCAGUGUCACCAGCCUGCAGUUCCACUCCUUGCCCCGCUGGCCAUUCAGGUAACAGAAUGCAAAGUAGAGUGAAAUCCAGCCAAUCAGGCAGCAGCACACCUCCAAAAGUAUCAUUGUUGUUGCUGUACAGGGGAAACCAGAGUCAACUUGACAUUACUAUGUCAAACAGAGGCAAUGUCAUAUCUAGGCAUACACUAGUAUAAUCUCCGAUUUAGUUUUAUCCCCCAAUAGCCUAAGCUACAUAAUAUUCAUAUCACAUAAUUAAAAUAUUUAGUGUUCAUGUUUUACAGUCAUUGUUACAUUUUGUUAAAUAACUAGGGCUACAAGGUGUCAAUUGUAGUCAGAGAACAGGCUUAUUAGUUCAAUGCUUACGCUAUGUCAUUUCAAAACAUGUACCAUAUGUCACACUUUUUUGCUCCAAAACCUAGGCUUUCUUAAGAAUAUGGUCAAACAACAAAACAAUGUAAUACUUGUAGCCAUAAUAAUAGGCUAGUAACAAUCAAGAAGAUCAUAGCCGAAAUGCUAGCAUACAACUAUAGCCUACAUACCUUUAUCUUCUACUCUCCAGAUGCAUCCUAACCUGGCAUUCAUGUCUGAAAUAUCAACUCCAACAAAUGUCCACCAUCUUCAGCCUCCAUUGGUGUUGCUAUGACCUUUCAGAUCUGGCUCGAAAGUCAUUCCAAAAAGGCCUGGCACAUUUGAAACGGAGUGCAUGUUAACUUUUUCACUACAAUAAAAACGUCAAGCAAGCCUACUACAAUAAAUUAGUCCCCUAGCUAGUCUAGAUCCCUUGCCCCUGGUUCUCAAGCAGCUUUAGCCUCUUAUGGGAUUAGUCGAUUCCCUCCAGCUACCCUGGCUGUAGAACAUGCAAGAGAUAUG